CACACCGCUGGGACUCAUGCAUCACACUCACCAACUGCCCAUCAGUUGGUUUGGCUAUCCGUCCCCUCGGCCACGGGCGCUCCUGGAUUCAUUUUAGCUGCCCCACCCCACAAUAUAAUCCCAGCCAAGAGAACCUGACUAUUCUCCUGCACUACAGCAAAAGAAAAACUGGAGAAGAAAUACACUUUUGAAAGGUUCUGGGAUGGAGCUUAAGGUGGAAUUGCAAAAGAUUCCCCUUUUCUGGAAUUUGGUAAAAGCAGAACAGAAGCCAAUGUACUAGAGGGAGGCACUCCUUAUGCAUAAGCCACUGCAACUCCUAUCAUUGCAGGAGGAUCCAGAUGCAUGCAGCACAAUAUUUGACACCUAAAAGAUAUUUAUUAAAUGUUUCUUGAUUUACUGAUUGAAGAGCUACAGAUGAAUGACAAGCUGAAGUAUGUAAAGGAGAUGGUGGUGAGGAAAGCAGAAACUGUAGCAUAUUCGAAUGAAUUGGGAAUGUUUAGCUUAAAGAACAGAAGAUUUAAUGGGAACAUGAUACCAUUCUUCAAGAGAUUUAAAUUCUGUCAUAUGGGAAAGGGAUUUGAUCUGUCCUCAGAAGAGAAAAAUAGAAAGACUGAAUAUAAAUUGCAGAGAGAAAAAUUUUGGCUUAGUAUAAGGAUGAACUUCCUUACAAGAAGAGUUUCUCUUUCAUGGACUGGGCUUCCUUAAGAAGUAAUGAGUUCCUUGUCAUUGGAGGUCUUUAGGCCAAGGCUAAAUGACCACAAUUUCCCUUCACACCCAAUGGAGACAUACCAGGACUUUGAACUUGAACCCAAGAGCUUUGGGAAUAGCAAUGCCCUUCUCCCAAACGGUUAGAUCUGUUUCUAAUCUAGCUCCCACACCCAGCAUUGAAAGGAGAAAUCCUCCUGGACAGCUGUGGACCAACUCCCACCAAUAGCUCAGAUAAGAACAAGGACCCAGAAAGUGGCAGCACCUCACAUACCAGUAGUCCUGCCUCCAGCCCAACCCUCACAACCAUCAUCUCAGGGAGCAACUUCUGUGGAGAAGGCAUCAUCCAUCCCCACCAAUUGCCAACUAGCCACCAGGGGGCAGAAUAUGCCAGAGAAGUCAAACCACCACCACUUUAACCAUUUUCCUUCAGACCUUGAUGGAGACAGCUCAGGACCUUGAACCCAAGAGCUCUGGAAUAGCAAAACUUCCAGGCUACUGCCCACAAGCAUCAUUCUUGGAAGUCACUCCUGUGGAGAUUCAGUGUGGCAGUUGCUCCUGCAGAUGUUAUAGCCACAGCUACUAAACACCCAGAAAAGAAAGUUCUUAACACCAGAGUCUUUGACACUGUCAAAUGGUUCAUCAUCAGAAAUGGAUGAGGUUUUAUCACUUGACAUGGCACUAAAGAAGAGGGAUUACCAUCUGCAUUGUUGCUAUACCCUAAGGACAAUGGGACCUUUCUUUCUGACUCACGGAUGAAACCUUCCAUAUGUGUUGUCUCUUUGUUAAAAUGUGAGCUCCUUGGGAGCAGAGACUGUCUUACUUUUCUGUUUGUAGCCCCAGUGAUUAUCACAGUGAUUUAUACAA